GUGCCUGUCGUUCAAUGGUUAGGACGCGAAUCUUAUAAAUUCGUAACCUGGGUUCAACUCCCAGCAGGCAUAC
rnacentral:tRNA from 1 species